rnacentral:rRNA from 1 species
AUUUGACGUUAGCGACAGAAGAAGCACCGGCUAACUCCGUGCCAGCAGCCGCGGUAAUACGGAGGGUGCGAGCGUUAAUCGGAAUUACUGGGCGUAAAGCGCAUGCAGGUGGUUUGUUAAGUCAGAUGUGAAAGCCCGGGGCUCAACCUCGGAAUUGCAUUUGAAACUGGCAGACUAGAGUACUGUAGAGGGGGGUAGAAUUUCAGGUGUAGCGGUGAAAUGCGUAGAGAUCUGAAGGAAUACCGGUGGCGAAGGCGGCCCCCUGGACAGAUACUGACACUCAGAUGCGAAAGCGUGGGGAGCAAACAGGAUUAGAUACCCUGGUAGUCCACGCCGUAAACGAUGUCUACUUGGAGGUUGUGGCCUUGAGCCGUGGCUUUCGGAGCUAACGCGUUAAGUAGACCGCCUGGGGAGUACGGUCGCAAGAUUAAAACUCAAAUGAAUUGACGGGGGCCCGCACAAGCGGUGGAGCAUGUGGUUUAAUUCGAUGCAACGCGAAGAACCUUACCUACUCUUGACAUCCAGAGAACUUUCCAGAGAUGGAUUGGUGCCUUCGGGAACUCUGAGACAGGUGCUGCAUGGCUGUCGUCAGCUCGUGUUGUGAAAUGUUGGGUUAAGUCCCGCAACGAGCGCAACCCUUAUCCUUGUUUGCCAGCGAGUAAUGUCGGGAACUCCAGGGAGACUGCCGGUGAUAAACCGGAGGAAGGUGGGGACGACGUCAAGUCAUCAUGGCCCUUACGAGUAGGGCUACACACGUGCUACAAUGGCGCAUACAGAGGGCGGCCAACUUGCGAAAGUGAGCGAAUCCCAAAAAGUGCGUCGUAGUCCGGAUUGGAGUCUGCAACUCGACUCCAUGAAGUCGGAAUCGCUAGUAAUCGUGGAUCAGAAUGCCACGGUGAAUACGUUCCCGGGCCUUGUACACACCGCCCGUCACACCAUGGGAG